CCUGGAAGGCUGGAGGGAAGCAGCCAAACAGGUAGGGGGGAAGGCCGGAAAAAAGAAAGGGAUUGAGAUUUGAGAAAGGAAGCAGAGCAAAUGGCAGGGGAACAUUGCAAAACCCUAGUCGCCACUCCACCGCCCAUCUGAUUCGAUUCCGAUGGACUUCGCGGAGCUGGAGGCGGUGGAGGGCCUCCGGUGGCCGUGGCACUCGUGGCCGACCACGCCCUCCGCGGCGGCGGCGCUCGUCGUCCCCACCGCCGUGCUCUGCACGCCGCUCCACCCCACGGCGCCCGACCUCCUCCCGAUCCUCCCCUACCCGCCCCUCCGCUGCGCCUCGCCCGCCUGCGCCGCCGCACUCAACCCCUUCUCUCGCGUCAACCACGCCUCCGCGCGCUGGUCCUGCUCCUUCUGUGGCUCCACCGCCAACCCCUUCCCGCGCCACCUCUCCCCCGACUCGCUCCCGGCCGAGCUAUUCCCCACCCACUCUAGCGUCGAGUACACGCUGCCCCCUGACCCUGCCGAGGGGGUCGGAGCUCAGCCUGCCAUCGUAUUUGUCGUCGAUGCGGCCACCGCUGGGGCCGAGCUCGCUGCGCUCAAGGCCGAGGUGCUCAGGGUCGUGCAGGGGCUGCCUGAGAGGGUCAGGGUAGCUCUCGUCACAUUCUCUGCGUCGGUAUGGGUGCAUGAUCUCGGCUUCGAAGGCUGCUCCAGGGUAGUUGUGUUCAAUGGGGAGCGUGAGCUGGAGUCGGACAAGAUACAGCAACUUCUAGGAGUUCGACAGUCACGAUACCAAAAAUUGGCUACGCCAAUGGCCAUUGAAGUACAGAGAUUUUUGUUGCCUGUUUCUGAAUGUGAGUUUAACAUCACAUCUGCAAUAGAGGACAUGAACUCCAUGUCUUCUUGCCCACGUGGGCAUCGCCCUUUAAGAGCCACCGGUGCUGCUAUUUCAACAGCUAUUGCUCUUCUGGAAGGUUGCUGCUCCGCUAACACUGGUGGCCGGAUCAUGGUUUUUACAUCUGGUCCCACGACAGUGGGUCCUGGGCUUGUGGUGGAAACUGAUCUUGGGAAAGCAAUUCGCUCGCAUCGUGACAUUUUCAACGGCAAUGUGCCCCUCAUUGAAAAAGCCCAAGACUUCUAUAAGAAAGUUGCUAAGAGAUUAACAGACAAUUCAUUAGUUCUUGAUCUGUUGGCGUGCUCACUCGACCAGGUUGGGGCUGCAGAGCUGAGGUAUCCAGUUGAAGUGUCUGGGGGCUUAAUGGUGCUUACAGAGUCAUUUGAGUCCGAACAGUUUAAAAGUUGUUUAAGGCAAGCCUUCAAGCGUGAAGGUAUUGAUUACCUUAACAUGAACUUUGGUGCAACGAUCGAAAUAGUGACAUCAAGGGAAGUCAAGAUUUGUGGUGCCCUUGGUCCCUGCAUCUCCCUGCACAGAAAAAACAGAUUGGUUAGUGAGAAAGAAAUUGGUGAGGGUGGUACAAAUAGUUGGAAAAUGAGCACACUGAACAGCAAAACAUGUAUUGCUUUCUUCUUCCGAGUGGAUUGUAGACGUGAUACUGAGCCCCCAACUGUCUUCUUUAUCCAGUUCAUGACAAGGUAUCGACAUGGUGAUGGUAGCUAUCGCCUAAGGGUAACGACUGUUGCGAGAAGAUGGGCUGGACCUCGAUCUCCUGAAAUUGUUACCGGAUUUGAUCAGGAAGCUGCUGCAGCAGUUAUGGCCAGGCUUGCUGUUCACAGAGCAGAGACAUACCAUGUUAGAGAUGUAAUACGAUGGCUUGAUAAGAUGCUUAUUCGCUUUACUGCUAAGUUUGGAAACUAUGUCCCUGAAGAUCCGUCUACAUUUCGGUUGUCAACUAAUUUCUCCUUGUAUCCCCAGUUCAUGUACUAUCUGCGAAGGUCACAGUUCAUUGAUGUUGUCAACAGCUCUCCUGAUGAAACUGCUUUCUUUCGGUUGAUGCUGAAUAGGGAGGGAGUUGUGGGAUCGCUGAUCAUGAUCCAGCCAACUUUAUUCCAGUACUCAUUUGAUGGACCACCUAUUCCUGUACUGCUAGAUGUCAGUUCCAUCUCUCCUGAUGUCAUUUUGUUAUUUGAUUCGUACUUCUAUAUUGUGAUUCAUUAUGGCUCGAAGAUUGCUCAGUGGAGGAAACUUGGCUAUCACAAGGACCCAAACCAUGAAAAUUUACGGAAGCUGCUGGAAGCACCAGAAGUUGAUGCAGAGGCACUAUUGACGGAUCGUUUCCCAGUGCCAAGACUCAUAAAAUGUGAUCAGCAUGGCAGCCAGGCCAGGUUUUUACUAGCCCGGUUGAAUCCAUCUGUUACACAGAAAUCACAGCUUUCUGAAGGGUCGGAAGUCAUAUUCACAGAUGAUGUUAGUCUGCAAGUUUUUAUUGAACACUUGCAGGAGUUGGCUGUUCAGGGUUAGCGAUGCAUGGACCUGGCCAUGUCUCUGCUAUCCCAGUUGGGCCCAUUGCAGAUCCUGAAGAUGCGGCUUUCUGAGAGAUCAGAUGUCACAUUCACAGAUGAUGUUUACUUGCAAGUUUUAUUGAACACUUGCAGUAACUGGCUGUAUAGGAUGAAUGAGUUCAUGUGGAUUAUGUACAUCUUAUUUUCUGGUCGUCUGUUAUGUUGGAAAUAUUGAGGUCUGCUACCUGGAGGAAUGGAAUCUCCUUGAUCUAUUGUACAUUGCUCCAACUCCAGUUUGAUGUAAGCCAGCCACCCUUUUAGUUUUCGAAUAGCGUGUGAUGUUAUCAAUCUUUACCCUUCACGAACGUUGAGGUGCCUCUGAACACGUUUGGUUCUCAUGCCGACGGAUUUACCAGUAGCGCUGAAGGUACUGAACAUCUUCUGCAGAGCAAUGGAGAGGUCCUUGUAGGUGUUGUACAUCUUGAGGUCCACCUUGCGCAGGUACGGCGCACCGUCCAUGCUCACCUUCACAAAGGCAGACCCGUUGCCACCAGCAGUAGCAGCAGGCUGCUCCUUCUCGGCUUCCUCUUCCUUCUUGAUCUUCACCGACUGGACGGUCAUGGCGUUCCUGCGGUACGAUCGGACUGGUGGCCAACCAACAGCUUGUGCCCUGAUUAUAUGCAACACACAGAAUUAGCUACACAUUUGCCACUUGAUAUUUUUUUCAUGUACCAAUUCUAAUCUAGCUGUGUCUAGUCUACUGGUGCUGUAAAAAUAAAUAAGAUUCUUUGCUGUUGUAACUGGAAGUUCUAUCUAACUAGAUCAUGCAUGUUACUAUAUUCUUUCUGGUAGCCAACUCUGUUUAACUAA